rnacentral:tRNA from 1 species
AUCUCAGUGGCGUAGUGGUUAGUGCACGAGCCGCGGUUGGGCGCGAGACGCGGGUUCGAAUCCCGCCUGAGAUG